rnacentral:rRNA from 1 species
AAUGAACGCUGGCGGCGCGCCUAAUACAUGCAAGUCGAGCGAGAAGACGUAGCAAUACGUUUGUAAAGCGGCGAACGGGUGAGGAAUACAUGGGUAACCUACCCUCGAGUGGGGAAUAACUAGCCGAAAGGUUAGCUAAUACCGCGUACGCUUCUUGGACUUCGGUUCAGGGAGGAAAGCGAUACCGUGGGUAUCGCGCUCUUGGAUGGGCUCAUGUCCUAUCAGCUUGUUGGUGAGGUAACGGCUCACCAAGGCUUCGACGGGUAGCUGGUCUGAGAGGACGAUCAGCCACACUGGCACUGCGACACGGGCCAGACUCCUACGGGGAGGCAGCAGUAAGGAAUAUUGCGCAAUGGGCGAAAGCCCGACGCAACGACGCCGCGUGGGGG